rnacentral:lncRNA from 1 species
UGGUUCUUUGUGUUUUUUUUUUUUCUCAUGGUGUCUUCUCAGAUGCUCUCCUCCUGGCUCAUCAGUCUAUCCUCAUGGCAAAUCUGAGACAAUCUUCCCCACCCCCUUACCCUGGAAGGGAAUAAAUGGACCUGUUGACUGACUGAGCGGGCUUGGUCACUUGUCACAGACAGAAAUGCAGCUCUUCUCGGAGUGUUCAAUACAGAUCAUGAACCAUCUGCCCUAGCUUCUUCCCAGGUUGCAGAUUUAUCCGAGGAGUUUUGCAAAUUCCGCAGCUCUUGGUCUCUCCACUGAUCACGCACAUCAGGACAAUGGGACGUUUCUCUAAUGGUUAUUUGAAGCAACCCCAUAAAUCAGUGUGUCAAAGACCUAGAAGCAGGACGGGUCCUCUGGAAGCGCUGCUUGAUCUCACACUGGCCCACACUGAUUCCUUACGUGGUUUCAGAGGAUUUGGAUAAAAGGACUCCUGUGGACCCCUACAUUGGUGGCUUAACACUUGACUGUUCAACGAAAAGCCCUUCUUUUCUCGUAUUCCUUCUUAUGCAUGCAUUGAGACGACUGCAUUUUCUCAGUACUGAGAGAUCUGGGCUCUAACAGGCUGUCCACCUCACAGACAAGAAAAUAAGCUUUGAAACCCUUCGCUCAGUAUUAAUAUCUACAGGGUUCUGCAGACCAGUAGCUGCCCUCUGGAAAUAGAGAGUGCACAUCAUCUCCCUCCCCCUUCCUGCUUCCCCCUGAGGCAGGAAGAAGUUCCCUCCAAAGCAAAGCCA